GCUAGAGAGAUAUAUACAAUAUAUAGUAGUUAUAUAGACAGAGCUUUGUCACAAUAUACUACAUUAGAAAAUUUUAACCAUAGGUCUAAUAUAAUGGCAGAGGGCAAGUGUCAGCAUUCCUACACUGUAGAAGAAAAGCUAGCUGCAACAGAUCGAGUAAAUAGCUGAGAAACCCAGGCCAAAGUUUCAAAAGAUAUUGGGAUUGCUGAAUCUACUCUCCGAGGAUGGCUAAAAAACAAAUCUAAACUGAAUGGCUUUGUACAAAAUAUCGAUUCUGCCAUGGGGCUUAAUCGAAAACGUGUGCGCUAUUCAGCAAAACCCACAAUAGACAAAG